rnacentral:lncRNA from 13 species
UUCAUUCCAUGUGUAACUCUGUGUUGUUGUAUGUGUCGAACUGCUAUGCUUUAUCUUGGCCAGGUCGCAGUUGCAAAUGAGAACUUGAUCUCAACUAGCUUACCUGGUUAAAUAAAGGUGAAAUAUAUAUAUAUUUUUUAAAGUAGGCGCGCAGUGGAUUAUGGUCAUUGUAGUUAAUGUGAGCGGACCAAGUAAUUGGGCGUCACUCUAAAGCGGGAAGGUGGAAUAAACGAGUCAGGAGUAAGUUUUCUUGAUUGAACACAGUUCUCUAUUGAGGGCAUUGGGUCAACACAAACACUCCAACAUAAUCAAUGAAAAUCUUCCAAGGAAAAACAUACAUCUUCUUCUCCAGAUGAAACAAGAACAUAAUAGGAUUAUCUUUAAACUACAACAAAAAGUCACGGGAUUGUCACCGUCUUAGUGGUUCUUCCUGGAUAGCUCCUCUCUCUCGGUGGCCAUCUUCCAGAGAUAGUUUUCCCCCUCUCUGCUGGUUCCAAUCUCUCUCUUAUAGGGGAAGGAGAGUAUGUCAUUAGUACCGUCAGCUGUGCUUAAUUGCCUCUGGUUACCUUGUCUCCCAUGCCUUGUUGGGCUACUAUCCAUGAGCCCAGCCUGCCCUCUGGUGGUCCUUCCACAUUUAUUACAAUGUUUUAUGCACUAAACUAUGUAGAAUAUUGGCUUGUUGGAAACUACAACUCUCUACUACAUCUCACAGUUCAGUCUGGGUCCGAUUUCUCUCUAGAGAAACAACAACUCUCUACUACAUCACACAGUUCAGGACAGAACAUGGACAAUGCAAUUGGGAUCAAGAAGAAGAUCUUCUCAGAAAUGAAUAAAGUCUAUGGAAUGGAUAAAGACAAAAAUAUAAUUCAAGGACUAGCAGAGGUAGAGAGGCGAGGCAGGGGUGAGGACAUCAUCCUGCUAUUUUGA